CAGCCCCGGCCGCUGGGCGCACCCGUCCCGUUCGUCCCCGGACGUUGCUCUCUACCCCGGGAACGUCGAGACUGGAGCGCCCGAACUGAGCCACCUUCGCGGACCCCGAGAGCGGCGGCGCGACUCACCGCGGAGGCGCCCGGACGCGUCAAACCCAGCCCAAUAGGAAGCACCUGAUCCACACUCUUUCUAGCCCCAGAGAUGCUCAGGAAAGCAGCUCUUCUUUAGGGCUGUCAUCUGUUCUGGGGAUCUGUUGCUGUUCCUUGGGCCCACAGAAUACACUCCAUACCUCGGGACUCCAUAAUAUUGGACAAGGCUGGAAGGCCCAUUUGGAUCCUGCAGCCUCUUGUGCAGGAGGACCUCCUGAGGCUUCACGCAGGAGCUGGUGCACACCUGGAGGAGAGUGCUGGUGAACGGCAGGUGUGUGCCUCAGUGUCCUUGCUGCCUGGGUGUCAGCCCUGCUUCACCACUGGCCCUUUGUCUCUGUCCCCUCCACUGGCCUCUUGAAGCACAGAGACCCUCCAGGUACUUUCCUUCCUCUGGGCUUCCACUCAUGCUAUUCCCUGCUCCCUUCUUCUACCUGGAGACCCCCAUUCCUCCUCCUCCUCCACUGCUGCCCUCACCUCCACCUGGGCCCUCCCAGCUCCCGGGAGAUGGCCGAACCCCACUGCCUGCCAGCUAGUCAUCCUCUUCAGCGGUCCUCCCAGAGCUGUCCUUGGCAUGGCAGCCUCCACAGCCCCAGGUGUCACCCCCGGUUUCAUGUCUGCCUCGUACUCCAGACCUGUCCCUCCCAGGCUGGCCCAGAUGGAUCCUCUGCAGUGACUAACCCGAACCAGCACUGGGCAGGGACCCAAUAAACCUUUGUGAA
rnacentral:lncRNA from 1 species